AAAUGCCUUUCCAAGACUUUAGGCCACUGUCUACUUUGCUUUAUCACUCCGUGUGAACGUGCUCUUACUAAAAAGAAAAACAACAACAACAACAAAACCCCCACCGUUGCACUGUUUGAUGUGUGUUUUGUUGAUUCUCUAGGCCCCAUUCACUUGCUUUGAUCCUUCGGCAGCAGUGCUCUCUUUGGAGCCCUAUUCAUCAGGCUGGGCUUCAAUAUCCUACCAGGGAGCUUCAAUGAAUUGAUUAAAACUAUGGAAGUCUGCCCGCUAAGGACUGCGUUGCAGAGGAUGAAUGGCUUGCAAGGCAAAACAGUGCUGUGUUUUCCUUCAGCACCUGUCUAGCAAAAGAGAAAUGUUCUUGCGAAUCCUCUGCUGACUGUAGCUGCACACUUGCAGCAGUCUAUCUACGUAGGAUAACUUGGCUAGAACUUACUGAUGACUGCAUGUGCAGUGGGCUAAAGAAGAUAAUGGGAGAUGCAGGA